UACGUAGGGUGCAAGCGUUAAUCGGAAUUACUGGGCGUAAAGCGUGCGCAGGCGGUGAUGUAAGACAGUUGUGAAAUCCCCGGGCUCAACCUGGGAACUGCAUCUGUGACUGCAUUGCUGGAGUGCGGCAGAGGGGGAUGGAAUUCCGCGUGUAGCAGUGAAAUGCGUAGAUAUGCGGAGGAACACCGAUGGCGAAGGGCAAUCCCCUGGGCCUGCACUGACGCUCAUGCACGAAAGCGUGGGGAGCAAACAGG
rnacentral:rRNA from 1 species